CAAACAAAGUAGACGUUCUUUGACGUGUACUACCUCUUAGAUUCUCUUCAUUAUGUACAUUCUCACUUGGUUCAUCUCGAGGUCGUUUAGAUCCUCCACUAGACUGUUCAUGUCUAAUUUUAUACGGGUAAAUGUUUUCAAAGAAUUCAGCAUUAUCUGAUUCAAUUACCGUAUUUUCAUUUAUAUCCGGAUGUUCGGAUUUAUGAACCAAAAACCGACAUGCUUUACUGCUUUUAGCAUAUCCUAUGA
rnacentral:lncRNA from 1 species